UACGAAGGGGGCAAGCGUUGUUCGGAAUUACUGGGCGUAAAGGGCGCGUCGGCGGCUUAUCAAGUCAGGCGUGAAAUUCCCGGGCUCAACCUGGGGGCUGCGCUUGAUACUGAUUGGCUUGAAUGCGGGAGAGGAUAGUGGAAUUCCCAGUGUAGAGGUGAAAUUCGUAGAUAUUGGGAAGAACACCGGUGGCGAAGGCGGCUAUCUGGCCCGUAAUUGACGCUGAGGCGCGAAAGCGUGGGGAGCAAACAGG
rnacentral:rRNA from 1 species